AUUGAACGCUGGCGGCAGGCUUAACACAUGCAAGUCGAGCGGGGGGAGGUAGCUUGCUACCGGACCUAGCGACGGACGGGUGAGUAAUGCUUAGGAAUCUGCCUAUUAGUGGGGGACAACAUCUCGAAAGGGAUGCUAAUACCGCAUACGUCCUACGGGAGACAGCAGGGGAUCUUCGGACCUUGCGCUAAUAGAGGAGCCUACGUCGGAUUAGCUAGUUGGUGGGGUAAAGGCCUACCAAGGCGACGAUCUGUAGCGGGUCUGAGAGGAUGAUCCGCCACACUGGGACUGAGACACGGCCCAGACUCCUACGGGAGGCAGCAGUGGGGAAUAUUGGACAAUGGGGGGAACCCUGAUCCAGCCAUGCCGCGUGUGUGAAGAAGGCCUUAUGGUUGUAAAGCACUUUAAGCGAGGAGGAGGCUACUUUAGUUAAUACCUAGAGAUAGUGGACGUUACUCGCAGAAUAAGCACCGGCUAACUCUGUGCCAGCAGCCGCAGUAA
rnacentral:rRNA from 1 species